UUUCCCCCUUCUUUUUCCCCUGAAAUCUUUUUCUUUUUUCCCCAUUUUUUUUUUCCCAAACCAUUUCUCCUUUAUUUUUUUGCCCCCAAUUUCCCCAAAUCGACAGCCCUCUGCAUUUCCGUUGUCCCGCCCAUUUUCGCAACCUCGACUUCGGUGAAUGAAACGACUACCUCAAAGGCGUCAUCACCGAUGUUAUCCAUGACCCAGGCCGCGGUGCGCCCUUAGCUCGCGUCGUGUUCCGUCGCCCAUUCCGUUACAAGAAGCAGAAUGAACUGUUCGUCGCCGCUGAGGCAUGUUGAAGUUCCGAUCCCAACUCCAAAUAAAGACUGGUCAAGCUAUGGCAAGUGCUCUCAAUGUUGUACAAACAUCUCAUUCGUAUGGGGAUUUAAUGCUUCUAAUGAAACAUGCUGAACUGCAACAAGUGUGUGCUUCUCUUGGUGGUUUUUUUUACUACGUUUUUAAGUGAUAAAACUUAUGUUAACUUUGUGAGGAAUCGGGUCUCGUAACACGUGAUUCAUCUGAAUAUCUAUUUGUUUUAGUGUUAAUAAUUCUUUUAACAUUUUAACUUAUCAUAGAUGCUAUGUUUUGAUUUAGCAUUCUUGUUUAUCAUGUAAAGAAAUUGUCUGGAAUUUUAAUAGCAAAAAUUGGAAUUUUUUUUAUUGUUGUCUAUGUUUUACUUGUGAAUUGUGAUUGCAAUGGUUUACCUUCCUUUGGUGUAAAAUCUACUUGGCCAAUUGGAAUGUUCAAUGAUUUAUUUAGCCCUUGUACUCAGCAAUAUUACUUCUAAUUGUACUGCAACACAUCUAUAUGCCCAUUUCUUACCUGUAAUCAUGUUGCAUAUGCUUUGGCUUUUUAAAUCGUGAAUCAUGAUUAAUGAAAAUGAGAUGGAUAGCUGAUGCCUUUCCUGAUUUUCAGGUUUGACAAGGAACUGAACAAGUAAGUUGCUAUUAAAGUUAUUGAUUUAGAAGAAUCGUAAGUGGAUACCUUUGUUAUAUUUUCCUUGAUUUAUUCCUCAUUAAAGUGUCUUGUAGCAGGUGCUUGCUAUGAGCAGCAAAGUAUGAAUGAAUGUGAUUGUCAACUUUACAAAUAUACAUAGUAAAGUUUAAAGUAUGAAUCGAAUUGCUAUGAGCAGCAAAUUUAGCGAUAAAACAAAGUCACACCAACUUGCUAUGAGCAGCAAAGAAAAUUUUUUUAAUUGCAGAAAACCAACUUCCCUUCUUUCCCAUACUGCCAGAAAAUUUAGGGACCGCACGACUUGUGGUUGAUUUCGAUAGGUGGUGGACUGGUGAGGAAUCUGUGAAUGUUCUCUUAGAAGCCGCAGGCCAAGACAACCGUAUUUUCUUUUUCUAUUUCCCACACUUGGGUAUGAUAAUGGUAGCAUUGGAGUUGAGGUUCUCACACCGAAAAAGGAACACAUGCCCUAUGCCCUAUUUUCAUUUAAGGACCGUCAAGGAAAUUCUGAAACUGAAAGCUGAUUGAUCGGAUGUGUAUGCCGGCUUUCAUCAACUACUUUCGAAGGCCUUACUAGGAAUUGAAGUGGUGUGCAAAGAGAUUGCUUCUUCCGAUCUGAUUUUUCGAUAUAAAUACUGGACAAAGUAUGGAUAUUUUACUGCUGUUAGUAAAAUAGGAUUCUCUUCUUAGGAUCUUAGUUUCUUCACUUGUAUUAGACUCAACAAUGGCUUGAAUUGCAUUGGUGUUGAUUUUACCAAAAUUUCGAGGUUUAUAAUUUUUAAUUUUUAUUAA